CCCUAGAGUGGGGGACAACAGCCCGAAAGGGCUGCUAAUACCGCAUGUGAAUAUUGAGUGGCAUCUCUUGAUAUUCAAAGCAGCAAUGCGCUCUAGGAUGGGCCCGCGGCCUAUCAGCUAGUUGGUGAGGUAACGGCCCACCAAGGCUUCGACGGGUAGCUGGUCUGAGAGGACGAUCAGCCGGAUUGGGACUGAGAUACGGCCCAG
rnacentral:rRNA from 1 species